GUCUAUGGCCAUGCUACCCUGAACAAGCCUGAUCCUGUCUGAUCUCGGAAGCUAAGCAGGGUCAGGCCUGGUUAGUACUUGGAUGGGAGACCACCUAGGAAGACCAGGUGCCGUAGGUG
rnacentral:rRNA from 1 species